UACGUAGGGACCAAGCGUUGUUCGGAUUUACUGGGCGUAAAGGGCGCGUAGGCGGCGCGGUAAGUCACUUGUGAAAUCUCUGAGCUUAACUCAGAACGGCCAAGUGAUACUGCAGUGCUAGAGUGUGGAAGGGGCAAUCGGAAUUCUUGGUGUAGCGGUGAAAUGCGCAGAUAUCAGGAGGAACACCGGUGGCGAAGGCGGGUCUCUGGGCCGAUACUGACGCUGAGGAGCGAAAGCGUGGGGAGCGAACAGG
rnacentral:rRNA from 1 species